UGUCUACAAGAGCUUGUGAACUGAAACAUCUUAGUAGUAAGAGGAAAAGAAAGCAAAAACGACUCCCGUAAUAGCGGCGAGUGAAAAAUGAGCAACCUAAGCCCCUGAAAGCGGGGUGGUGGGAGAGAAAUACAAGUCUCGUGCUGCUAGGCGAAUAAGUGGGGUACAAUACCCUAGGCGGUGGAAAGACCAAUAGCCGAAAGCAUCACUAGCCUAUACCCUGACCCGAGUAGCAUGUGACACAUAUUUAAUGAUACCGAAGGAACUUUUUGGCAUUAAUUCGACCA
rnacentral:ncRNA from 1 species